rnacentral:lncRNA from 1 species
GUCCAGAAGCUGUACGGGUUCCCCUACAAGAUCCCUGCGGUGGUGGUGGAAAAGGACGCAGUGUUCAUUCCAGCAGGGUGGGAUAAUGAUAAGAAAAUAGGAAUAUUACAUGAAAAUUUUCAAACUUUGAAAAUAGAAGAUAAUUUUGAAGACAUCAUAACCAAACCUCCUGUCCGAAAGACGCUGGCACUGAAUCCAUUUCUACACACUUUGGAAACCACAACUUGGCAUGGAGAUCUUGAGCAGUUAGAGUAGAUGGAAGCUGUGGACUUCAGAGACUACAGCUCUUCCCAGAGCCACGAAAGCAUUACUGCAAGGAUUCUCUCCUUUCUACCAUUGAGCGUUACUGUGGAUCGUGGCCAUCGUCACUGGUCACCUGUAUUGGCCAUAGCUAUCUAAACGUUCUCAUUUUGCUUUAGUCUUGACUCAGGUUUUAUGACUAAUGUGUGCAUCAUGACUUUGUGUUAAGCUGUAUAUACAUAACGUUCAGUAGAUAAAUACAGAUAGAGCUGUUUCUGAAAGUGACAAAGAUGAGUAUUUACAUGUAAUCCUCCUCAGAGACUUAGCCCAGCACUUUAGGAAAGAAUGCUCCUGAUGUAGUCUGUACCAUGAAC